rnacentral:rRNA from 1 species
UUCGCCCAUUAAAGCGGUACGCGAGCUGGGUUCAGACCGGCGUGAGCCAGGUCGGUCCCUAUCUGUUGUGGGCGUCCCAAACUUGAGAGGAGUCAACCUUAGUACGAGAGGACUGGGUUGGACCGACCCCUGGUGAGCCUGUUGGACUGCUAAGUCCACAGCAGGGUAGCUACGUCGGGCAGGGAUAACCGCUGAAAGCAUCUAAGCGGGAAGCCCCCCUCGAGAUGAGGUUUGGUUGUACUUUGUACGAAAGACCCCCGGAAGACCACCGGGUUGAUAGGCCGCAAGUGUAAGAGCCGAAAUGCUUUGAGCUAAGCGGUACUAACGGUCAAAGACUUGAUCAC